UACGAAGGGGGCUAGCGUUGCUCGGAAUCACUGGCGCAAAGGGUGCGUAGGCGGGUCUUUAAGUCAGGGGUGAAAUCCUGGAGCUCAACUCCAGAACUGCCUUUGAUACUGAAGAUCUUGAGUUCGGGAGAGGUGAGUGGAACUGCGAGUGUAGAGGUGAAAUUCGUAGAUAUUCGCAGAACACCAGUGGCGAAGGCGGCUCACUGGCCGAUACUGACGCUGAGGCACGAAAGCGUGGGAGCAACAGG
rnacentral:rRNA from 1 species